GAUGAAGAACGUAGCGAAAUGCGAUAAGUAAUGUGAAUUGCAGAAUUCAGUGAAUCAUCGAAUCUUUGAACGCACAUUGCGCCCCUUGGUAUUCCGAGGGGCAUGCCUGUUCGAGCGUCAUUAUAACCCCUCAAGCUCAGCUUGGUGUUGGGGCCUGCUGCACUGGCAGCCCUUAAAAUCAGUGGCGGCGCCAUCUGGCUCUAAGCGUAGUAAUUCUUCUCGCUAUGGAGUCCUGGUGGAUGCUUGCCAUCAACCCCCAAUUUUUCUAUGGUUGACCUCGGAUUAGGUAGGGAUACCCGCUGAACUUAAGCAUAUCAAUAAGCGGAGGA
rnacentral:misc_RNA from 1 species